UACGUAGGGUGCAAGCGUUAAUCGGAAUUACUGGGCGUAAAGCGUGCGCAGGCGGUCUGCUAAGAGAGAUGUGAAAUCCCCGGGCUUAACCUGGGAACUGCGUUUCUAACUGGCAGGCUAGAGUGUGGCAGAGGGGGGUGGAAUUCCACGUGUAGCAGUGAAAUGCGUAGAGAUGUGGAGGAACACCGAUGGCGAAGGCAGCCCCCUGGGCUAACACUGACGCUCAUGCACGAAAGCGUGGGGAGCAAACAGG
rnacentral:rRNA from 1 species